GACAGAGGUGCCGAGCGUUAGGCGGAAUCACUGGGCUUAAAGCGUGUGUAGGCGGCCCGUUAAGUGUCCCGUGAAAUCCCCCGGCUCAACCGGGGAACCGCGGGGCAUACUGGCGGGCUUGGGCCACUCAGGGGCAGACGGAACAGGCGGUGGAGCGGUGGAAUGCGCAGAUAUCAGGAGGAACACCGGUGGCGAAGGCGGGUCUCUGGGCCGGAACUGACGCUGAGGAGCGAAAGCGUGGGGAGCGAACAGG
rnacentral:rRNA from 1 species